GACGAACGCUGGCGGCGUGCUUAACACAUGCAAGUCGAACGGAAAGGCCCUGCUUUUGUGGGGUUCUCGAGUGGCGAACGGGUGAGUAACACGUGAGUAACCUGCCCUUGACUUUGGGAUAACUUCAGGAAACUGGGGCUAAUACCGUAUAGGAGCUCCUGCUGCAUUGUGGGCGUUGGAAAGUUUCGGCGGUUGGGGAUGGACUCGCGGCUUAUCAGCUUGUUGGUGGGGUAGUGGCUUACCAAGGCUUUGAAGGGUAGCCGGCCUGAGAGGGUGACCGGCCACAUUGGGACUGAGAUACGGCCCAGACGCCUACGGGAGGCAGCAGUGGGGAAUAUUGCACAAUGGGAGGAAGCCUGAUGCAGCAACGCCGCGUGCGGGAUGACGGCCUUCGGGUAGUAAACAGCUUUAGCCUGUGACGAAGCGGGAGUGACGGUAAUGGGUAAAGAAGCACCGGCUAACUACGUG
rnacentral:rRNA from 1 species